AUGAUUUUUGCUCUUAGCAAACAAUGGAUGCCACUGAUCUCGUACUUGGUGAUGCGGAGGGGUUACCAAAAUGAGCUUCCAAACAUUGUUGAUGUAAAGCUUAUGAUAUAAUUACACAAAAUGUCAGGCCCGUUGAGAUCACUAAAAUAAUUGAGCUGGGUGGCUGCUUAGAGUACAAUUGUUGACAGUUGAGCUGCGAACAAUGGAGAAGGAUUAAUCCUCCAUGACAAAUUCAGUGGGUUGACCUUAUAUAAGGGUGUCUUGUAGGAAUCGAUAGUUGAAGAGAAAAAUAAUACUGUUAACUCCAUGAAAGGUCAAGCUAGGGGAACAACUGAGAAGGGUUCACACCGUAAGAAUGUAACAAGUAUGGUGAAGAAAAAUAACGAUGGGAAAAUUGGUUCGGUCACCUCAAAGCAGCCUCUUGCCAUUGCAACUAACCGGAGGUUAUCUAAUGACAGGCAAAAUUCUGGAAGCAUCAAAGGUGUUGUUUCUGGUAGGGCAACAAAGCCAGUACUUCGUGUUUAAGCUUGAAUGUAUGCUCUCUUUACGGCAAUGAUAAAAAAUUUUAGUCCAUAAGAUUGGAUUUAAGGACUUGUUUCUCACGGUAUUUUCCAUAUUUGCUUUGGGCAGCAAACCAAAAUGUCUUACGCUGCAACAACAGUGAAAGCAGGCUUAAGGCUGCUGAUGUUUCUAAGUGUAACAGUACUGUCUUGCUCUCUUUUCACUUCACUGAAGAUGUUGUUUAUCUUUGAAUACUUCACAGAAGCCCUGAAUCAAGAGGUAAUAAACCUCAAAGAAAGGUGGACUACCUUGAUAUGGCUUCAGUUUUAAGUGUGAUGAUAGGACUGAGAAACGUAAAGAGGUCUAUUUGAUUCUUAUUUGCAAACUGAUUAUGACUUUAUCUUUAAGCUUCAUUUGAUCAAUUUCAGAUUUACUAACUAUUUGCUUGCUUUUGUUUGGGAAGUUACCAUGCAGGCAAAAUCGCAGGCGGUGCUCUUAAAAGUUUUACUGGUUGAAUACUUUUCUAACAUUGAUUUAUCAAAUAAUUCUGUCCAUCAGAUAACACAUUUUGACCAUCAAAUUUUUUACUGGUUAUCUGAAGUUUGGCUGGAUGAGUCAAUGCCUAUUUUCUGAAGUUACAAGUGUUGCUGAAAUUGGGGUUUAAAAUACGCUUUCAGUUCAAAUUGCUUUGUUAUGUAGACUUGAGAGUGAUGGAAACGAGCCACAGAGAAAGUGCAGGAGUGUCUUUUGUAAUACCUGGAAAGCCUUUGCUCAUAAAAGUUUUAGUUAUGUCAAAGUGUGUAUAAAUUUCUUGAUUUUGAUGGCAGAUUCCAACAACAAGAGCUAAAUCUCCUAAGCUUGGCUGGUCCAAAGGAUCAUACAAAGACUCUGAUGGAAACAGUAGCCAUGGUUCUCAAUCAGGCUGGUUAAGUCUCGAUAAGAAAAUUACUCAAUAUCGGGGUUGCCAAAGGAUCAUCCCCCCAACAGUAUUAAAAACCAGUUAGAAAAGUCUCUUCCCAAGCUUCCCUCUGAGAAAACUACAAUGAAUGAUGCUACAGGAGAUUCUGCAUCCAUUUCCCAAAAUUCAGAACAACCUGAUUUGGAGGCAGAAGCAAAGCAAACUCAGCCUGGUAUAAAUGAUGAACUUGUAGCCUGCUUGGACGAGACAGAGAGUGAAUCCAAAGUCGCAAAGCACUCAACAGAGGAGCAGUGAGUACAAGUGGACAUGAUAACAUGCAUUAGCUGAGCCUUAAAUGGGUUGGUCUAGAUUAAAACAUGAAACUAGAAAGAAUGUGUUGUAUUGGGUUGUAAUGCUACGGUGUUCAUAGUCCGUGGGUGGUGUGUGAUGCUAGCUUUUGUGUGCAGAUUAUGGAUUGACUGCUCGUGUGCAGAAUAUGGUUCUUUGAUGCAGAUACUUUUUAUAAACUAUUUCUUUUUAUUA